rnacentral:rRNA from 1 species
UGAUCCGGGUUGCGGACAGUGUCUGGUGGGUAGUUUGACUGGGGCGGUCUCCUCCUAAAGAGUAACGGAGGAGCACGAAGGUUGGCUAAUCCUGGUCGGACAUCAGGAGGUUAGUGCAAUGGCAUAAGCCAGCUUGACUGCGAGCGUGACGGCGCGAGCAGGUGCGAAAGCAGGUCAUAGUGAUCCGGUGGUUCUGAAUGGAAGGGCCAUCGCUCAACGGAUAAAAGGUACUCCGGGGAUAACAGGCUGAUACCGCCCAAGAGUUCAUAUCGACGGCGGUGUUUGGCACCUCGAUGUCGGCUCAUCACAUCCUGGGGCUGAAGUAGGUCCCAAGGGUAUGGCUGUUCGCCAUUUAAAGUGGUACGCGAGCUGGGUUUAGAACGUCGUGAGACAGUUCGGUCCCUAUCUGCCGUGGGCGCUGGAGAACUGAGGGGGGCUGCUCCUAGUACGAGAGGACCGGAGUGGACGCAUCACUGGUGUUCGGGUUGUCAUGCCAAUGGCACUGCCCGGUAGCUAAAUGCGGAAGAGAUAAGUGCUGAAAGCAUCUAAGCACGAAACUUGCCCCGAG